CCUAGUUGAUUGCAAGAUAUGAGACAGAGCCUGUUUGUAUACUGUCGACUUAAGGCUUGACUCUCUCUCAUCACAAAUUAAAGGCACUGUAAAAGAAAAUAUUGAAGCUUGUGUGGAACCCAAUUCCUGCAUUCAUGACAAAAUAGCCCGAGACCUCUUUGCAGUAAUACCUGAGGGACAAGCAUAUGUAGAACUUUGGACUACAUUUAGGACAUUCAGAUAUAGGAAUGGGUAUGUAUAUCUCAUUUCUCUGUCGUGUAGUUCAUUUUCUAGCUGCGUUGAGAGACUUGUUUCAUGUGCUUAAUUGCUAGAGGUUAGGCGCUGUGUGAAUCAUGGAUUUGAUGGACAGGAUUAUGUGUUUUCCUCUACCAGACUUCUUCAGUGAGGGAAAUGCACCAGAGCAGGAGACAUUGUCAGUGCUCACCGUCCCAGCUGAAAAAAUGGGACGAAUUGUUGGUAGAAAGGGAUCUUCAAUCUUGUAUAUCAAAGAAUCCUGCAAGUAACUCUCUCUCUC
rnacentral:lncRNA from 1 species